rnacentral:rRNA from 1 species
GACGGAGGGGGCAAGCGUUGUUCGGAAUUAUUGGGCGUAAAGGGCUCGUAGGCGGAUCCGCCAGUCUGACGUGAAAUCUCCACCGCUCACCGGGGAGGGGCCGUUGGAUACUACGGAUCUGGAGUUCGGCAGAGGACCAUGGAAUUUCGGGUGUAGCGGUGGAAUGCGUAGAGAUGUGGAGGAACACCGAUGGCGAAGGCGGCGUUCUGGACUGCAACUGACACUGAAAAACGAAAGCCAGGGGAGCAAACGGG